UCAAUUUUUGGUUGCGGGGGAAUUGCAGCUAGCGGAGACAACACAGAAAGAUCAACAAGAGCGAGAAGAAUUAGAAGAACACCAAUUGUUGAUAGUUCCUGAGGCGAAAACCAAUUCUUCUGUUUCAGGUUAAGAUGGGUGUCCCUCUGUUUCAGGUUAUUCUUCACUCUGCGAAACCCUAGUUCCCAAUUCACCCCACGGAGCUCAAAUUCCCCUGAGCAUCUGUCUUGUGAGCACUUUGGCGCCUCUUUGGCAAAUGUUAAGGAACUAAACGCCUGCGAGCAAAGAAAAGAGAUUGUUAGUUUCUUUACAGGCAAUUGAUAAAGUUUAAACGAUGUAUUCAUGCUACCUGAAGGACAACUUAAAAAGAUUGGAGAUAGAGGUUGAUAAAUAUGGAGAGGACUUGUGCAGGGAAAGGAGAAGACUGCUGGAGAUUAAAAGGUGGCAGUUUGCAUAUGUAUCUUGAUUGCUGGAAGAUCCCAGCAAUCUUAUUCCUUUCAAAAAUAGAUGCGAUGUCAGUUGUAUAAUAUAAUAAAGUGAACUCAUGCUAAGGGUUUAAGAUAUGUAACCAGCCAAUCAAGAUCCAAUGUGUUUUAAGUGUAAAA